rnacentral:rRNA from 1 species
CCUAACACAUGCAAGUCGAACGGUAACAGGAAACAGCUUGCUGUUUCGCUGACGAGUGGCGGACGGGUGAGUAAUGUCUGGGAAACUGCCUGAUGGAGGGGGAUAACUACUGGAAACGGUAGCUAAUACCGCAUAACGUCGCAAGACCAAAGAGGGGGACCCUCGGGCCUCUUGCCAUCGGAUGUGCCCAGAUGGGAUUAGCUUGUUGGUGGGGUAACGGCUCACCAAGGCGACGAUCCCUAGCUGGUCUGAGAGGAUGACCAGCCACACUGGAACUGAGACACGGUCCAGACUCCUACGGGAGGCAGCAGUGGGGAAUAUUGCACAAUGGGCGCAAGCCUGAUGCAGCCAUGCCGCGUGUAUGAAGAAGGCCUUCGGGUUGUAAAGUACUUUCAGCGGGGAGGAAGGGAGUAAAGUUAAUACCUUUGCUCAUUGACGUUACCCGCAGAAGAAGCACCGGCUAACUCCGUG